CUGGAGGGCCAAAGUUUGCCUAUUCCUGCACUAGAUCCAGUCUGAUCUUGAGAGCUAAGCAGAGUAAACCCUGGCUAGUACAUGAAUGGGAGACUGUCAAAGAAUACUAAGUGCCAUGUGGU
rnacentral:rRNA from 11 species